AAUCAUUGGUUAUUAAAGAUCAUUCUCCCUCAGGGAAUCUCUGUUUCGAUCAUCAUCUGAGCUACUCGAUCUGCUCCAUCGACUUCUUCUGAUCUCUGUUAAUCUUCUGCUACAGAUCACAACUUCAGUUGCUCAAACUCAAUCACCGAUCACAGUAUUGUUUAUUUUAUCAUACUACGUAUAUAUUAUCUUGCAUCAUAACUUAAAUAUCCAUUAUAUCUCAUAUCUGCUUCAGAUUAGUUCUAGUUAAGCAGGUGUUUCUUAUAUAGCUUAUAUACAUCAAUAACAUUAAUCACUAUCAUUUUCACAUAAUUAACCUUUAGUUGUAUCACCUGCACUCUCUGUUAUUAUCCGCUGCAACAUAUAUAUAAUCCAACCAUUUAUUGUCAAUAUAUAAAUAUCUUUGUAAUCAUAUUUAUAUCAAAACUUAACAAUUAUCUUAUUAUUAUUUCGGCUAUUGUGUCUGUGUCUCUAAACAGGUGGACACGGUCGUCUUGGUUGAUUUUGAAUAAAAUUAAUUGAUGGUGUGUGGGCUCGCGUUAAAGUGCUCACACACACAACUCUCUAGUUUUACUAUCUCUUUAAUUAUCGACCCUCUCCCUUAUUGCACUUGGGGUGGUAUUUAUAACCUAUUUCCUUAGACCUGCUGGACCCGACAUUAAUCUUUUGACGUGCUUGCUCUCGGAUAUCGUGGUGUUUUUUUGGUUCAUCUACCGAGUCAUCACAUGUAAUAACCGGUUAUUGGGUAUUAAUUGGAAAUAACCCAAUUAAGGGUAAAACUGUAAAUGACUAGGAUGAUUAAAAUAUAAAUUAAAAGGAUAGAAAGGGAGAAAAGGAAACGGAGGAGUGAAACAGAAAGUGAAGAGGGGAAAACGGAAGGAGGAGGGGGAAGAAGGAGGACGGCUAGGAGGGGGAGCAUCGUGGUUGAGAUCUGUAAGGGGGCACCGGUGUCGUGGUGUGGGAGGUGUGAAGCUCGACAAGUCGCGGAAGAGGUAUGUAGAGUGUUAGAUUCUAAUUUGGGUAAAGGGUAUGGGUGAUGGGUACGGUAGAGGAUGAAGGGGAGAAGAUCGGAAAUAGAUCCGAUCUUGAUAAACCUACUCAAGGAUGAUAAUGUAGUAUAAGGACAGCGGGGUACUCAAAUCACUUGAGUCACUCGAUCCAAGGGUUUACCAACUUUUGGUUAUGUUGACCACUUGAUCUUGGUUGGGAUGGUUACCUUAAGUGGUGGUUGAUUAUAUUGUAAUUACUACCCAUUUUAAUUGCUGCUUAGAGUUAUGGUAGAAUGUAACUCUUGCAGUCUAUUUUAUUGGGGAUCUAUUGUGUGAUUGGUUGAUUUAAGUGAUGAAGGAUUGCUACCUCUACGCUGUGAAUGUCUAUAUUGUAUUUACUGCCAUUUUAAAAUUGUUGUUUAGUGUUUUACCAUCUGUAAUUCUUGCUGUCCAUUUUAUCGGGGGUCUUUUCUCUUAUCGUUUUGCUCUAGGUGAGGAAAAGUACUACCGGAAGACAUGUUAGAUUAGCAUAAGAGCUAAUCUAUUGUUUUUCUUUGCUGUCCAUUGUGAUUUCAGUAGUAUCCUCUUGCUGUCCAUUUUAUUUGAGGUCUUUUCUCUUAUCGUUUUGCUCUAGGUGAGGAAAAGUAUUACCGGAAGACAUGUUAGAUUAGCAUAAGAGCUAAUCUAUUGUUUGUUUUUGCUGUCUAUUGUGAUUUCAGUAGUAUCUUCUUGCUGUCCAUUUUAUUAGGGGUCUAUUCUCUUAUUGUUUUGCUCUAGGUGAUGAAAAACACUACCGGAAUGCAUGUUAGAUUAACAUAGGAGCUAAUCUAUUUCUUUUUAUUGUUGUAUAUAGUGAUUUCCGUAGUAUCUUGUUGCUGUCCAAUCUUAUUGGGGUGCCUAUUAAAUUAUUGUUUGUUUUAAGUGAUGAAAACACUAAGGGAAUGCAUGUUGGGAUGGCAUAGGAGCUAAUUAUAGUGUGGGGUGGUUCCAUUAUAUAUUUUAUUGCGAAAUUUAGAUGAAAAGGAUGAUAUGGGGGUGCAUAGUUGGUUGACACAUAUGUUAAAUAUCAUGUGGGCUGUUUUGGGGUAAUUAUGCUACUAUUUUUAGAUGAUGCCAAAUUGUAGCAAACAGGAUAUUUAUCAUGUGAGUGGGUUGUAGUAUUUAUGUUGCUGUUUUUAAUGACGAAAAUGCUAUCGGGUACAUGUUUGAAUUGCAUAUAAGAUAAUUAUCACGUGGGCUGGUUUGAUUAAUUAUUUUUGUUUUAAAUAAUGAACAUGUUAUCGGGGCCAUGUGUUAGUAAUUAAGAUAAUUAUCUUGUGGGUUGUUUCGAAUACUUGUUGUUGUUUUAAAAUGAUAAUAGUAUUAGAGGGGAAAUAUACAUGAAUGGACAAGAGAAUAAGAAUAGCAUUGUAUGUAUGAAUGAGAUUCAUCAAUGAAUGAAAGUAUGAAUGAAAUAUGACAGGGGUGUUAUGACGCCUAACGAAUGACGAGUGAUGAUCCAUUAGGGGCAUGAAUGAUGAUUGAUUGGUAUCAUCAGAUUGAAUAUUAUAUAUACAUGUAUUAUGUUAAUUGCUAUUGUUAUUACUUGUUGGAACCUAUACUUUACAUGCUGAGUAAUGUAGUCACUCACGGAUACAUGACCUGUGCAGGGAAUGGAGGCAACUUUGCCUAACUGGAGGGGUAGGAGACAAAGGACUCGUCGAGGUGUCGGCGUAGGGGGUGACGCGAAGUAGUCGUGUCAUUGACUAUUUUUUGUUGUAAUAAGGAUCGUAUUAGGUCCCCGAACACAAAGUAGUUGUAGUAUUGUAUUAGUUGUAGAUUCUAUUUUGUCAUCAUGUGAACUUUCCUUCGAGAGGAAUCUAUGUUAAUCGUUUGAUGAAAAUUAAAACCAAUGUGCAGAGCAGGGUUUUACAUCACCUAUCUAAGAUCAUACACAAUUCGAUUAACCCAUGUUGGUUACACACACUAUUAAUGUGGCUUAAAGUUUAAAAUUUGAGUUUU
rnacentral:lncRNA from 1 species